rnacentral:lncRNA from 1 species
GUUGAGCCACAAGGAGUUUAGGUCCCUCUUCACAGCACAGAGAGCCACCGGUGAGGCCUUUCAGCAAGGAGCCACUUGAUCAUGGUGCUUCCUGAAGUCUGCUAGAACCUCAGCGUGCCAGCCCUGGAGGUCAGAGAGGACACAGCAGGGACCAGAGAGGUGUCGGGGUGCCGGAAAACUCUGUUCACGCUGGAACAACACUGGUUUCUGUGCCACUGGGCGUAAGCAGAGCAGAGCUUGCCAAGUUAGCCCCCAGGUCUCUUUCUCCUGCAAACACGGCCCUGGUCUAGACAGAAGAACUGUAUCAGCCAAUUACCAGCCCCUGGAAAAGAGCCUCAGCCCGACAUGUGGGGACGAAGCCAAGAGUCGUAGUCUGGCCCCUAGACAGAACAGCACAGCCACGCAUCCCUUCCACUCUCUCCAUCCCUUUAUCUGGCUUUCAUUAGAGCCUGGGCCGCGCCUCUUUUGUGGGAGAGACUUGAGGGAGCCGAGGCAGUUUCCCGCCGCUGUGAUGUUGCUAAAGAUUAAAAAGGAGCUUUGAAGCUGCACCAGCGCUGCCUGCGCCCCCUCGGAACAGGACCUCAGAAAGACCCGCGCCAUCUGGCAAACCUGACAUAAAGACAAAAUAAAGUGAUUGAAACAGUCUCUUCAAAGCCACAAUGGCAGAUUUGUUGAUUUGGGCGUUAUCUUUCAUGCGAGGCCCUCAGAAGUCACCAGAACACCUAGAUAACCUCAGGCAGGCCUGACUGGAGUGGAUAGAGCCUUCCAGGCUGAAGCUUGCCGAGAGAGAGGACUGGCUGGAACUGGUGGGGGCUGAGAGACGGACUGAUGGCCACCGGAGGUGGCUUUGGGUCACUCAACAAUUGAAUGUAGAGGGUUCAAUCACUGGGACUCUGCCUCACCUGUGUGUUCCCGUGUUCCCUCAGGAAGAGCACCGGAUGCUGGUGGAAGUAGAGCCCCCGUGGGAAGCUGAUACGGGGAUGCAUGUGGAGAGGGCAAGAGAUGGAAAGGCCUUACCCUGGUUGCAGCUGACAGCCUGUUAGUGGUGCCAUGACACUGUUGUCAGUGACAAUCCUGGCUGGGCAGGUGCUUCCAGGCUAGGUCCCACCAGACAAUCUCAGCCAACUGAGCCCAGCAAGUUACUACUGACCUCUAAUAACACCCACCAUGGCUGGAAUUUGGCUCACUGUGUGCGUGAGCCUGGGCUCCUUCAUUGGAGAAACUGCUGUCAUGAUCGGACCCUUACAUUCUGUUAGGUGGCAGUGUUGAGCCUACAGCUCCCAGUCUUGAACCAAGAAUGUUCUGUUGAGCUAAUGGGGUGGCUUAUACCUGUGAGCCCAGUGCUUCAGGGGUGGAGUUAGAAGAAUCAAUGGUUCAAGGUCCCUCCCAACUACACAGCAAUCUUGGACUACAAAAGACCGGCUCUCAAAAAAAAAAACAAAAAACAAAAAACAAAAAACAACAACAACAACAAAAAGCAAAUGAACAAACUGCCUUGGACAGCAGUCUGGAGAGGGCAACACAAACACCAACUGAAUAGACUGAGCUUCAGCCCAAGGGCUUAGGGUGACACCCCACAUCCCCACCACCCAUGCAACUUCUCCUAGUAAGAAGAUGCACGGGCUGGAAUGGGAAGAAAAGAAUGGUAAGGGGGCUCAGCAAGCACUAUUAAGGGGCUCAAGUGGAGUGUGGGGAGCAGAACAGCUGGCCCUCCAUUCCCGCCACCUGACCACCGUGACUAGUUCAGCUUCGUCUCCACACAAGGCACCCAAUUCAACCCCUGCCUUUAUUUUAAGGCCUUGCUAACCAAACGCGUGCACAACUUAGAAGGUAGGAUGGCUGGAGGCCUCCA